ACUCGCUUGCCUCACGGCGGCGACCAAGCUAAAAGAACGAAUAAUUUCAUAAACUGAUUCAGUUCAGUUCGUUCACUAAAAAAGAUUUGUUCUUCUGAACGACACGUUCGCGAACUAAACAACACUAGCUGAGAGUGCAGUGUUCAGAGAGGCAGAGCACGCUCCAUUUUCUAUGAAUGUAUGAAUGAGCGUUUGACCAUUGGCAGGGAUACUCGGAGCUGCAGGAGUGCACUCCGGCACUCCCAGUGUGGCACUGCAUAACCGAACGGCACACUCCAACAACGAGUUUCAGGACGUUCCGGAGUGUAGAGAGCGCCUGCGCAGUGAAUUACCUGUGUCAUUUCUUUUGGAACUGUGAAACACAUUCUGGCAUCUUUAACAUGUGAUUCACAAGACAAGCCACCUGAAUCAUUUAAAAAAUAACCAGGAAGCUGUCAGGCUGCUCAAACACCUGCGGGUCCCGGUGGAUGGCAUGACUGAUAUAGAUUGCACCAUAUCCCUUUGGGACAUGAAAACCUGCAAGGGUAGUGUCCUGCACACACACACGCACAAUCACACUGAAAGUGACAUUUGGCUUUAUCAUUUAUAGAAGAAACAUAAGAUGGCUGUAUAAAUCAAAUAUACUAUGUUGAAUAUCGUAUACUGUAAAGGUGAUACUUCAUAUUUCUAAUUGAUAUCCAAGAGCACAUGAUUAGACAAGUCCACAUUUAUCUGAUCGGACUAAUAUAUUCAUCUGAUCAGGUUCAGGAUUGUCUUUAAUAACAUAACACGAAAAGAGAAAAUGCAGUUGACACACGUCAAAUUCUAUAACAGGAAUGAGAGAUGUUUUAAUACAAUUGAACUCCCAUUUUUCAACAAACUUUCCUGAGGCCUUUUUUUCCCCACUGGGCUCUAUUGAAGAGUCACCCUGAGGCAAAAAGUCCCCUCACCCGGUUUGUUGGCCUCCAUAUUCACCUUUUCACAGCAUCCAUUAGUCGCUUCACUAAUGGACUGCCACCCAACAUAAUCACUGUUCUUUUUUUCUUAUAGCCCCUUUCUCAUUUCUACCCCAGCAGCUCUCUGCUGGAGUGGAAAAUCGCCUACAAAUCUCUUUCUUUCUCCUUGUUCUCGCUGUGACAUGACUGCCCUUGUGGAGUUCACUCACUUUCUCUCCACACACAUAUUCUUUCAAGUUUGUAUAAACUGUCGCAUAUUUUAGUUCCAGCUGACGGUGCUUCUACUUUUUCCACGUGAUAGUGAAUACUAAUUGUUACUUAGCCACCCUGCGCUCACACAUGACACAAGCUCAUCAUUUCACUCCUGGUGCGUUUAUGAGUUUAUGAGACACUUCCCCGAGGUACUGUAGUGAGAGGACUUGAUUGUUAUAAAUUAUGAAUUGCCAGUUACUGUAGCUAACAAAUUUAAUGGUUGUGUUUUUUUUAAAUGUAUUUAAUCCUCAACUCCCUAAAGCAUCACUGUGGUGAUUAAUACAUUUUUGAUAUAGCAACCUACAGUAUGAAAAGAUGUGAAGUGGAUUUCGUUGCACGUUAAAAGAAAAGGCCAAACUCAACUGUAAAUCCUUUAACACAAAUUCUGUCUUUUUUUUUUAGGACCCAGCAAAAAAUCCAUUCUGCGUUAGUGUGAUUGGCUUAAAGUUUCCUAAAGCUUGAUAACAUGUAGUACAUACUUGUGCAAUUUCCUCCUCUCUCCAAAAUGAACCCAAACCCCUUACGUCACGAGUCCGUGUUCCACGGAGGUUGCCAGCAAUCAAAGAGUACUGAAGCCUUUCCUAGAAGUGACAAAUGACUUUCCACUCGGCUUCACAGCAUCACUAGCGCACAUCAGCCCCACCAGCAACCGCUCUGACUUCCAUCCAGGGGAGCGUGCCCGAUCAAUCACAAGGAUGGAUCAAUGCCUCGGAUUGUACUGUUGCGUAAACCCGCUUGAUGAGGUCGCCAAAAUCAAAAUACAGCUGGUGCAUGUACAGGAGAUGAUGCCAAGUGACUUCGACUAAAAUGCAAUCUCUUUAUAGAAUUAUGCCGGCUGAGUGCUAAUGUCAAUUAGCAUAUAGAAUAUAAUAAUGUACCUAUGCAGUAUGCACAUUAUAGAACAAUAUACAAUACAGGCUGAGGUUACAGAGAGAAAAGAAAUAGAUUUUCAGGAAAACUACACCUUCCAAAGUCACAAAAUAACUCGAUUGCUUGAACCACACAUCAUGCAUUUCAUUACACAAGAUGCCAGCAUAUUGUGUGACUUAAGUAAAGUAAGCUGAAUUCAGCAUCACCAUACAUGUGGUCACUUUUUUAUAGGUAGAAUGUUAAAUUGCUUUUAUGUUUUACUAUACACUGGUUAAUUUAUGCUUAUGUGACAUUAACUUUUUAAAUCCCACCUUUUUACUGCAAAUGUCAUCAUAGCUUUUAUUGUGUUUACAUCUUGAAAUUAGCAGUGUUUAAUGUAUGUAUACACGUGUAUGAACAUUACAGUAGUGAUAAGUGUAUGACCACCAUAAAAUGGGUUAUUUCUAUUUGCAUUAAUUUCAAAUCCGAACAAAUCACAGGUUGGUCAUAACUUGGACCUUAGAAGAUCCACUAUACUGUACAUUGACUUACAAUAAAAUACAUCUAUCCAAACAGUGAAUCACUUAACAAAACAAUAUAAACUAAGUAUUAACUAAUCAAGCCUUCACAGUUUUUAAAAAAGUAGCCGUGCAACAUUCCUGUAUAUUACCUAAAUAAAAUCCCAAAACAUAAAUGUGGACAAACUAAAAGCUAACACAGUGCUAUUGAUCAAAUGUACUAUAAGUUAUUUUAAAUUACUAGUACGAGUACUCUUCCUUCUUUGCUUUUUUUCACAUUUUAAUUAUUAUUACAAGGCGGCACGGUGGGCGACUGGUUGGCACAUCUGCCUCAUAGUUCUGA